ACAGGUCAGUAUGGCUGUGCUCAUGUCGUGUUCCUUUACAAUGCUCUCCAUACUCCUGGAAAGGAUGUGAUGGUCUCUGUCUUAAGUAGUAUUUAUACGAAAACUAUGGCUUACACAUUGCUUCAUUUGCCUUUAUUGUUCACAUCUGAUAACUACAGAUCCCUUCAGAAACUCACAAGGUCCUCUGUCUGGUAAGAAGUGGAGCCUAUAUUCAAAUCCAGUCCUGUCCUAUACACUGCAAUUUAGCAGCUCCUCAAAACGCACAGCCUGAGAUAGUAGAAUGGAUCACACUCCACUGGAUCUGCCGUUGGUUAUUUCUUGAAAAGGCUCCUACUUUGGUGUCCUUUAAGUAUUCUUCCUUGUGCCAGAAGAGGUGCUGCAGCCAGAAUGGAGGUUCAGUCAAAAUAUCUCAACUUUAUAACUGGAGAAGCAUCAGUGAGUAUACUAUGUUUGGAAUCAGGUCUCAUACUAGUCCUCAGAAGAAACCCUUUUCUUCUCAGGCUUGACACAUCAGACACCUUUAAAAUGAAAGAAAGUGUACUACCUCAAUGAUCUCAUCUAUACCUGUUUCCUCAAUCUUUAGUCAAUCGUACCCCCAAAACAGAAAAAAAAAAACUAAUUCAGUGAAAUUAGAAAUGAGAAAGGUAAAACCCAACAGACACCACUGAAAUCCAGAAGAUUAUUAAAAACUACUUUUAGAAUUUGUAUUCCAGUAAAUUGGAGAAUUCAGAAGAAUUAGAUAGAUUCCUUAGACACAUGUCAAUUGCAAACUUCAACCAAGAUAUAAAAAUCCUGAAUAGUUCACUAAUAGGCAGUGAAAUUGAAGCAGUUAUAAAAUAACAAAACAAUAAAAAAAUGACUAAUUAAGAAAAGGCCUGAACCCAGUGGAUUCACCACUGAUUUUUUUACAAGAGCUUUAGGGAUGAUCCAAAGACAAUACUCCUCAAAAUCUUUAAUGAAAUUGAAAAAGAAGUACUGAAAAAGUCAUUCCUGGAAGCUAACAUUACUCUAAUUACAAAACCAGAAAAAGACCAAC
rnacentral:lncRNA from 1 species